rnacentral:misc_RNA from 1 species
UCAUAAUCUUACGAAUCUACAACUCUCUUUACUGAACUGAGCGAGACUCUAUCCAGAUCUACAAAAUUCGACAAAGAGCCUUCUUCUAACUAGGAGAGUCAGCAAGCUACCGGAAGCGAAGCUUCUGGCUCCCCCUUUGAAUUUCCAAUUCCUCCUUUUCGUUCUACUUAGGUAGAGCAAUCCGAACUCUCGACAGAAUAUAAAAGAGGUUUUUGUUUUUAUUCCUGUGUAGACACCUCAACGAACUCAUGUGGACACUCCUAAGCCCGAGGACGAUCUCUCAAAUACACAUGUUGAUGUUGAUCCGUUUUUCUUUUCUUUGCUGAUUCCUCUCAAUGAAAUUUGCCAUGUUGCACUAAGUUACUUACGGAUGUAUGCAUGCAGUCCGGGAACACUUUGGGGUAAACACCCAUCCAAACAAGUAGAGUCAAUAGUUCAGCAUUUAGGCCGUAACAUUUAGCAACAAAAAAAUCUUUAACCCAACAAGUGCUCUCCGAACCAAGCUAGAUAGUCUCCUAUCACUAGGCUCACCAACCAACCUGGACUUUUAUUCUUCUUAUUCCUACCGGAUAUCAAAAACCAUAAGGAUUGUUUCCAGCCAUGAGUUCCCAUAUGACAUAAGCGCUCUUGAGUGGGCUGGACCAUUCCAUCAAAUCUUUGAGAAGGGGCCCAAUCUCGUAUUUGAUGGUCGGCGCGGCGAUAGACUUCGCUUCUACGACUGCCUCCCCAGCCGUUGCAAACACUGAGCGAGAACGGUAAGGGGCGCACAAAGAAUGUCGUUGCGCGGGGAUGCGAUUCGCCAAGCUGGGGCAAACAAAGCCGUCCGGCCCUACCGGAUUAGGCUUUCGAAGGAAAGGCCUUCGAAAGGAGACCCGGCAAAGAAAGAGCUAUGCUAUUGACCGACCCUUUCGUAGUGACUUCGAAUCAAUAGGCCUCUCCUUUUUUCUCAUUUUGUUUGAGGCGGGCUGAAUAGAGAAUGAAAUGCAGAAAUAGGGGAAGGGUUCCAAACCUUUUUUUGGUUUAAGGGCUACUCGCCCUACCGAAGUACCAAAGGCUUUCGAGGUUUACACCUCCCUAUUACACGACCUAAAAAAGGCUUUCAGUAGCGUCCUUAGAAUCUAAGCCUUUUGAAGCGCCAGUAGUUGUAGCUGUGGGUAGGGCUUUCGUUCUUAUCGCUCCGGGUUUCGAUCUAUAUGACCUCCGGGCAGUACAAAGUACACCUCUUCCGUAGAGGCAGGUAGUAACCUAACCUUUAAGAGUCUGUUCAAGGGAGGAGCCCUCUUAUCUAUCAAUGGAAAGAUCUCCGUGCGUGGCGUGAUAAGGAAUCCUAGAAAAGAUCGACUGAGACUCCCUCCCCGGUCCCACGAAGAUCUCUACAUACUUGUCUGUUCAGCCCAGGACAACUGAGAUCUUCUGGUCUGCGUGCGUGGGAGCAGCUCAAACAAAGAAGAGUCUGGUCUGGUCUGAAUUCAGGCCCGGCCCGCCCGUCUGCAGCUAGGUUCGGGAAUGGCGCCAGGCGAGGACGCCGCUAUACCCCUUAAUGAAUCGAAUGGUCCUUCGACCUUCAUUUGAUUCCGACGGCCGGCAUAGAUCUCAUGAGACCCGCCCACUAUUACUACGAAAAAAGCCCUGCCCUUUUCCUUCGCUACUAGGGAGAGUAAGCAACCUCUAUUAGCGCCGGACCGAAUUGAUCGUGUCAUGUGCAACGUCCAUCAAUGAUGGUUCAUUAAUGUCCAUUGAUUUAGACUCCUUCCCCCUUCCCAACUACGAAUAAGAUCGAGAGGAGCCCGAAAGAAAGCCCCCAAACCAAGAACGGAAACGGAAGCCUUUCUAUUCACUCCCCAUUCUCUCUUAAAUAAAGCUCGCCCUCGAGCCCUGGGCAGGUCGGCCGGGUCUUUCCUUUCCCUGUUGUUCUGUUUCCGCCACGAGAAAGACGCACGGAAGAGGUAUGCCCAGUGCGCGGAGGAUCCGUUGAGAGUUUCUGUUGUCUCGGUAGGGAACUGUACGAUCUUUUCCCCUAUUGUAUUGAAUCAAUAAAAAAAGAGGUCAGUGCUACGGCUCCCUAUUGUUUGAUCCAAUAUUGACCGGGGAUGAGCCCCGACUUCCCUAGGUCCUUGCUUUGACCUCCCGUAGUGGUCCUUGCUUUUAAUAAAGUGGAGCGGGGCCAAUUUCUCGUACUUGCUCAGUGUGCCCCCCUUUCGUCGAGUGCCCCGCCCGGUUCACUGGGCUGUUGGCCUACCAAGCACUUGCCCGCUGCUCUUGCCGCCCGCUUGACGGGCGGAGCGCUCGUUAUCCUUACUGUUCUCUCUGCUGGGGCCACCUAUUGCUCUAGCCAUAAGCUAUGGCAGCUCCAGCUCGCAACCACAGGGGCCCGCCCUGCGAGGCCAGAGUGGGCUCAGCGGUCAGCCCCUAUUCGAAUUACGUUAGGGGGUCUUUCGCUUUUGCCAGAUCUAGAGAGAUACUACGAGUCCUCCGUCCCAGAUUCCAUCGCCGCGGCCAUCUGGUUCACCGGUACUACCAAAAAGUCUCAUGCUUACGUUACUGUUACUGAUGUUUUAAUUAUCUUGGACCACGAAGACCCCAGUCGUGCUUCUGGUUUCCAUUCCCAUCAUCAUAUUGAUGAUAAAUCUCCUCGUGCUCUGCCAUAAGAACUUGGAGUCCGUAUCAUGGUGAAGGUAAGGUAACGCUGUGAUUCUUGCUCAAAAAACAGACCGAACGCGUUCGAGUUAUUGGCUCGUCCGACCCGGCAGCAUUCAUGAGUCGCUCGUUCAACUGUCCCUCGGAGACACGGUCGAGAAGUACCAUGCAUGGUUGCCCCCCGUCCUUUCUUUCUCUCGGUCCCACCCAACAAGAUACGGCUCAGACAAAAAACGUGAGCGCCCCUCCGCAAGCCUUAUUUUUUUAGUAAAGUCAAGCUUUGGCUCCCUAAAGACUAAAGAAAUGGAUCAAAAAAAGGGGGGACUUCCGCAACGGGCUAUGCCACCCAAACCAACUGAGGGAAGUCGCAUCCGUCCCAUCGCAAGCACCUACAAUGUCAUGAUCACAUUGGUUUACCCUUUUUUCUUUGGUAGUUCAACGGACGGUCGCCCCUCCAACAAGAAAAGGUAUAAAUAUGAAAACUUCUCUGCCAUUUAAAUCGGAGAAUUUAUGGAGGAAAUCGGGUUUUAAAUUUCCAGAAACCACACGAUUAUAUAGCCAAAGGGAAUAGGCCGCGCCUAAAAUCAUCCCAAGCGCUGCUAAUGUGGCUACUAAGCUAUUUUUUUUGGAAAGCUCCUACUAAGAUGAGAAAUUCCCCAAUAAAGCUGCUAGUACCAGGUAAACUCAUAUUGGCCAAAGUAAAAGAGAAGAAAAUGGUAGAGAAAUUCGGCAUGGUGCUCACUAAACCUCCGUAAUAUCUAACAAGUCGAGUCUUAUGUCGGUCAUAUAGAACACCAACACAUAGAAAAAGGGCUGAAGAAACCAGUCCAUGACUUAACAUCAGUAGAAUGCUACCUCCAAUUCCCUGUAUGUUCGAUAGAGCCAAAGAUUCCCCCCCCCACUGAUCAGAGUACGCCGAUUACCCCCCGAACCGUACAAGAUAGUUACCAUCUAUCAUACGGCUUUCUAACUUCACUUAUUUUUUUGGUCGUUCCGCUCUGUCGAUCGAUGGUAGUAUAAGAGAUCUGUAACCCCCCGAAGUUAUUUACAUAAUGGUUCCUGCUUCCUACCCAUAGUUAGCAUGUAUCUCCCCGGGUCAUACUUGAGUAUCACAUCGUAGAUCCCCACCCCAACUCUAUCUUCCUUAUCAGUGAACCGGAACAUAGUGCAUAGGUACUCUUCAAUGCAGCGGGGACGAGACGACGUGAUAUACUACGAUCACGUACAGAAGUGCUGCCCUUCGGCUCGGCAAUAUGGAACCUCUCAACAGCUCUCGUUCCUUUAUGAGGUCCUAUCGGGAUAGGUAGGCCCAAGCCUUUCCCUUCCCCCCGACCGAGCAGUAGUUCCCCACGGCUGACAAAUAGGAGUUUAGGCCGUAAAAGAAAGGGACCGGCCCCCAUUCUCUCCCCCCCCCCACUGGGAUUUUGCUUUCCUUAUCUACGUGCGCACUGCGUCAGCACUGGCGAAAAAGAGGUCGGCUUUACUGAAGAAGAAGGGGCGGGGCCUUCGGGUGUCAUAUUUUGGCCGAGUUUACCGUACUUCCGGCCCCGACCGUAAUAUUUUUUUGUUACGUUCCACCGCUGUUACGCCAGAAAUUAGAGGUUCCACACGAGCUCUCGUUCUGCGGCGUGAUGGCAGGACCGAUAGGAGAUUGGCUCCGGGUGUAGAUAGGGUAAAAUUUUCAGGGGUUAUGAAAAUACAUAGGCCCCUUCCCUUCUCUUUUGGAUGAAUGGGGUGGUUUAGAAGGCGCUUUCCGAUCUACGGUCCCUCGGAGCGAAGGGUUAGGCAGGUAGUAUGGGCCCUCUGACUUCCAGCUAUGUGCUGUGCGGCUCCCGCGAAGCGAAUGAAGGGAAGCUCUUCGAGCUUUCUCCGCCAGCAUGGUCGGCCUUAUAAAGCUCCCUAAGCAAAGCCCCCUUCCCUUAUUAAAUGAAGUCAAAAGUCUUCACUUAGUAGUAGGCAUUCUAUAAGCGACUUGUCGAGUCUACGAAGCUUUGCUUCUUGUGGUCGGCCCGUAAUGCCUC